rnacentral:rRNA from 1 species
CCUACGUGAGGCAGCAGUGGGGAAUAUUGGGCAAUGGGCGCAAGCCUGACCCAGCAACGCCGCGUGAAGGAAGAAGGCUUUCGGGUUGUAAACUUCUUUUGUCAGGGACGAAGCAAGUGACGGUACCUGACGAAUAAGCCAAGGCUAACUACGGGCCAGCAGCCGCGGUAAGACGUAGGGGGCAAGCGUUACCCGGAUCUACUGGGUGUAAAGGGGGAGUAGGCGGGACUGCAAGUCAGAUGUGAAAACCACGGGCUCAACCUGUGGCCUGCAUUGGAAACUGUAGUUCUUGAGUACUGGAGCGGCAGUCGGAAUUCCUAGUGUAGCGGUGAAAUGCGUAGAUAUUAGGAGGAACACCAGUGGCGACGGCGGUCUGCUGGACAGCAACUGACGCUGAGGCGCGAAAGCGUGGGGAGCAAACAGGAUUAGAUACCCCAGUAGUC